CAGCCGCCGCGGGAAUACCGAGGGUGCGAGCGUUAAUCGGAUUUACUGGGCGUAAAGCGUGCGUAGGCGGCUUCUUAAGUCGGAUGUGAAAUCCCUGAGCUUAACUUAGGAAUUGCAUUCGAUACUGGGAAGCUAGAGUAUGGGAGAGGAUGGUAGAAUUCCAGGUGUAGCGGUGAAAUGCGUAGAGAUCUGGAGGAAUACCGAUGGCGAAGGCAGCCAUCUGGCCUAAUACUGACGCUGAGGUACGAAAGCAUGGGGAGCAAACAGGAUUAGAUACCCGAGUAGUCCCUGUCUCUUAUAC
rnacentral:rRNA from 1 species